AGAAGCCUUAUAUAGAGACAGGGCUGCAUCAGGUGCUUCAUAUAUGUCUUGGUCAGUUUGUGCUGCUAUAGCAGAAUACCACAGAAUGGGUAAUUUGUAAAGAAGAGAAAUUUAUUUCUCACAGUUCUGGAGACUGGGAAGUCUAAGA